rnacentral:rRNA from 1 species
UACGAGGGGGGCAAGCGUUGUUCGGAAUUAUUGGGCGUAAAGAGCUCGUAGGCGGUUUGUCGCGUCUGCUGUGAAAACUGGAGGCUCAACCUCCAGCCUGCAGUGGGUACGGGCAGACUAGAGUGCGGUAGGGGGAGAUUGGAAUUCCUGGUGUAGCGGUGGAAUGCGCAGAUAUCAGGAGGAACACCGGUGGCGAAGGCGGGUCUCUGGGCAGUAACUGACGCUGAGGAGCGAAAGCAUGGGGGAGCGAACAGG